CUUGAUCGAGCCGAGCCACAGGGGCCGGUCGGCAGGGCGGUCCUGCCCGUAGGUGGCGAGCAGGGCCUGGGCCUC
rnacentral:antisense_RNA from 1 species